rnacentral:lncRNA from 1 species
AUCAUCUACAUGCCUGCCCACUCUCCCAAGGUCAAGGCCGCGGAUUCAUUUCUUGCGCUUAUGCUCAGCCUGGAAACAGCAAUGCCACCACCUUCAGUGUAUUUACUGUGUGCCAAGCCCCCACAGUCACAAUCCUUAACACUCCCGCUAGCCUGGCAAGGCCAAUGUCAUAACCCCUACCACACAGAGGAUGGCACGGAGGCCCAG